CCAUCCAACCAUCUGAUUUCUUUUACUCUCGCGGAUGGGGCGGUCACCAAAAUCCAAAGCCGGAAGCUCCGGAUCGAAGAAGGCGAGCGGAGAGGAGAGAGGACGACGCGACCUGGUCGGCCGGCGACGGGAAGAGGAAGACGCGGGCAUCGACGUUGUGGUUCUACUACUGUGACCGGAAUUCGACGACGAGACGAUCCUCCUCCAGCUCCAGUAGGCCAAGCACUUCGAGUGCCAUGUCUGCCACAAGAAGCUCUCCACCGCCGGCGGCAUGGCCGACCAUGUCCUCCGGGUCCACAAGGAGACCGUCACCAGAGUUCAUGAUGCUAAGCUUUUGAGAGAAUCAACAAAAAGUGAGAUCUAUGGCAUGCAAGAAAUGCCUCCUGAUUUCUCAUCAUCUCGCUAUGCAGAAGAGUCUUACUACACUCUUGGAGUACUUCUUUCUUAUGGCAACUAGAAGGGGUAGACGGCAGCGACGCGACGAAAGAAUAAUGCAACCGGAUAGAGAUGAAAGGGAUGCAUAAAUUGAAGCACUAAGGAGACAAGUUGAAGAGCUUACUAUAUGUCUUGAAUGUCUAGAAACCCAUGGCUCUAGAGGCUUAGACUAUGGUUAUGCAAGUGAUAGAUUCGAAGACAUGAAUCCCUUUGCAUUCAAAGAAGCUGUAGGAGACUUAUCCGUGGAGAGGUUUUUUUCGUUCAAAUGACAAUAUCAUGAUUGACUUGUCGGAGUUCCAUAGUCGACUUCAACCUGAAGAAUUUAUUAAUUGGCUUAAUAUUGUUGAGAAUUUCUUUGAGUACAAGGAGAUACCAAAGAUCGAAAAGUAAAAUUAAUUGUUAUAAGGUUUCGAGGCUACGUCUCAAAUUGGUGGGACAAGGUGCAAGAGAUGCACCUUCAGAAAGGGAAGAUGAAGAUUUCAUCUUGGGAGAAGAUGAAAUUCGGCUCCGUGAGAAUUUUCUUCCAUCUGAUUAUGUUCAAACUUUCUUUUCACAAUUUAACAAUCUUUAGUAAGGUAGCAAAACCGUCAUCAACUACACUGAAGAAUUCUACAAGUUGAUGACCCGAAAUAACACUCAAGAGAUGGAAGAACAACUUGUUCCAAGAUAUGUCGGCGGCCUACGAAUUAUGAUUCACAAUGAAGUGGAGAUGCAACGAGUAUGAAUGUUAUCUGAUGCUUAUCAAUUAGCACUAAAAGUUGAAGCAAAACAUAUUAAAAGUGGAGCAAAGAGGUAUUCUAAUGUUCCUUUACAUUCCUCUUCUAAAGCUGACUCUACUCGUUAUAAUGUUAGUGGAUCAAAAGCUAGCAAAAUCAUGAAAAAUGCAUCCAAACUAACUCCUGCCAAUCGUGGAGGACAAUCUAGUCGCACCAGUCACUUGCCUACUUGCUUUAAAUGCAAAUGAGUAGAACAUUACAUGAACAAGUGCCCAAAUAGACAAGCUAAUGCACGAGUUAACUUUGUGGAAGAAUAAGAUGCCAAUGAACAACUUAAAGAUAUUGAAAAACCAAUAUAUAAUGAAUGCCACGAGGAGGCUUCCGAAGAAAUUGCACCACCCGAAGAAGGUGAAUGCUCGAUAAUCCAUAGAGCGUUUGCUACUCCAAGAGAUGAUUCUAAUGAAGAAUAGUUACAAAAUAAUAUUUUCAGGACAUGUUGCAAGUCUAAGACAAAGUUUGUUCUCUUGUUAUUGAUAGUGAUAGUUGUGAGAAUAUUAUCUCAAGAUAUGGUAGAUAAGCUUAAGCUCAAGAUAGAACCAUAUCGGAUUGCAUGGUUCAACAAAGACAACGAGGUACGAGAUACUAAUCGCUGCCUAUUUUCUUUUUCAACGAAAAAAAAUUAUAAAGAUAAUAUGUGGUAUGAUGUAGUACCAAUGGAUAUUAGCCAUAUACUCUUGGGAAGACCAUGGCAAUAUGAUAGGUGUAUUAUCCAUGAUAGUAGAAAGAACACUUAUACUUUUAAAUUCAAUGGAGUUAGAAUUGUGUUUUUUGCCAUGCAAAGAAGAGUUUGCUCCCAAACCUUUACAAGAGAAAGCGAAGAAAGUGGAGUUGUAUUUAUAUUAGUUGCUAAAGAAUGCAUGCAGCCUAUGGAAAUUCUUGGUGAAGUAGAAGCUAUUUUGGAGGAAUUCAAAUACAUAUGUUCUGAAGAACUUCCUAGUGGCAUACCUCCUCUUCAAGACAUUCAAUAUCAAUUUGAUCUAAUUCUAGGAGCGGUCUUUCCAAACAAAUCUCACUAUCGGAUGAGUCCAAAAGAACAUGAAGAGUUGAAUAGAAUAGUUAUGGAUCUACUACACCAGUGAUUUAAAAAGCGCUAGGCGCCAAAAGAUGCCAAGGUCCAAAAACGCUCGAGGCGCUCGCCCGAACGAAGCGAGGCGCUAAAAUAUAAAAAUAUAUAAUAUAAUUAAUAAAUAUAAUUAUUUAAAAUUUUAAAUAAAAAUAUGCUAUUAAAUUAAGAAAAUCUAAGAUACAAAAUCACAAUGUCACAUUAACAAAAAGUUUCAAAAUUCAAAACAAUAAAAUUUUACAUUAAAAUAAAAAUUAACAACAUUAAAAUCAAAAUAAUAUAUUAUUAAUCUAUUAACAGUAUUGAAAAUUAAUCAUUUCAAAAUUCAAAUAAACUUAAUAUUAAGAGUAUACUGUAUACUGAGCCUGACGGAGAAACGAGGAAGCAGCGACGAGCGGUGGCAGCGGCAGCCGGAAAGGGAAAGGGAGCGGGAGGCGCGAGCAGCGGGAGGGCUCGCGAGAGUCGCGAGCAGCGGGAAGGCUCGCGGGAGGCGCGAGCAGCGGGAGGGCUCGUGGGAGUCGCGAGCAGCGGGAAGGCUCGCGGGAGGGCUCGUGGGAGGCGCGAGCAACGACAGCGGGAGCAGGAGCGACGAGCAGCGAGAUCGGGAGCGACAGCGGCAACGGGUUAGGGUUGGGUAAGGGUUAUAUCGGUUUAGUUGGUUCGAUUGAACCAACUAACAACCGAACCAGGACCGAACCAGACCUAAAAUCCUGGUUCGGUCACUUGGUUUACCCAGGCGCUCGCCCGAAGUGCCCAGCGCCUGGGCUCGGGCGAGCGCCCAGGUGGCGCCUGGGACAUUAGCGAGGCACUCGGGCCUCGCCUUGCCUCGCCCGAGCGCCUCUUUCAAUCACUGUACUGCACAAGGGUUAUAUUCGAGAAAGUUUAAGCCAGUGCACCUUUCCAGCUCUAUUGACUCUAAAGAAGGUUGGAACUUGACAGAUGUGUGUCGAUAGUCGAGCUAUCAAUCGAAUUACCAUCAAGUACAUAUUUCCUAUUCCAUGUGUGGAGGAUAUGUUUGAUAUGCUUGCUGCUGCUCAAAUUUUCUCUAAAAUUGAUCGAUGAAGCGGUUAUCACCAAAUUGGUAUUAAACCAAGAGAUGAAUGGCAAACUGCUUUCAAGACUCGAGACGGUUUAUAUGAAUGACUAGUUAUGUCAUCUGGACUUUCAAAUGCUCUGAGCACCCUCAUCCAGGUACUGAAUCAAAUUCUACAUCCUUAUAUUGGGAAGUUUGUUGUUGUUUACUUUGAUGAUAUUCGUAUUUAUUAUCGUAACAAACUUGAUCAUAUUGAACAUUCGAGAACUAUUCUAUCAAUAUUGAUGGCAAAAAAACUAUAUGUAAAUCUUAAGUGUUCCUUCAUGACCUCUAGCCUAGCUUUUCUAGGCUUUAUCUUAACCUCGGUAGGUAUCCAAGUGUUCCUAUCCAAACUUGGCUAACAACAACAUCUUUACAAGAUAUUCGAAGUUUUCAUGGGUUGGCAUCCUUUUAACGUCGAUUUAUUCAGAAUUUUAGCACUAUUGUAGCUCCUCUAACCGAUUGCAUAAAGAAAGAAGUGUUUUAAUGAAUACCUGAGGCAAACAAUAAUUUUGAACUAUUAAAGGUGAAAUUAUCCACUAUUCCUGUUCUUUAGUUACUGAUUUUUUCUAAAAUAUUUGAAGUUGAUUAUGAUGCCUCUCAUGUGGGUAUGGUGGAGUACUUAGCCAAGAUAGACAUUCGCUUGCAUUCUUUAGUAAAAAGCUUAACAAUUCAAGAAAGAAUUAUUCAACCUAUGAUAUUGAAUUUUAUGCUAUUGUUCAAGUACUACGACAUUGGAGAACUUUUUUGAUCCAACGAGAAUUUAUCUUAAAUUCUGAUCAUGAAGCUCUUAAACAUAUAAAUUCUCAAGCAAAUCUCAAUAGGUGACAUGCAAGAUGGGUGGCAUUUUUACAAGACUAUACUUUUGUCUUGAAGCAUAACAAUGGAAUGUGUAAUAAGGUUGCAGAUACACUUAGUUGGCGAUUAGCGCUUCUUAAUACUAUGCGAGCUUCUUAAAACUAUGCGAGCCCAACUAAAAUGAUUUGAUGAAAUAAGAAAUACUUCAAUGAUGAAGAUUUUGGAGAAAUAUGCAAGUUACGCACGAAGGGUCAUCAUGAAGAUUAUGUUAUUGAAGAUGGUUUUCUCUUUCGUGGAACUUAACUUUAUAUUCCUAAAUAUUCUCUAAGAGAGCAUGUUAUCCAAAAACAGUACUUCUCAUUAAGGUGAAAUAUUUUUGGGAGAGAUAAAACAGUACUUCUCAUUAAGGUGAAAUAUUUUUGGCCAACAAUCUAUCGAGAUGUUACACGUUAUGUGAAAAGAUGUUGAAUAUGCUAAACAUCAAAAGGGCAAACUCAGAAUCUUGGUGUAUAUACUCCUUUACCAAUUCCUAAAUGCUCCCUAGGAAGACAUUAGUAUGAAUUUCGUGAUUGGUCUAUCAAAAACUCAAAGAGGUACAUAUUCUAUCUUUGUUGUUGUUGAUCGAUUUGUCAAAAUGGCAUAUUUUAUUCCUUGCAAAAAGAUCAUAUACUUCUUAUAUUGCUAACCUUUAUUUCAAUGAAGUGGUCAAACUUCAUGAAAUUCCUAAAUCUAUCACAUCAGAUAGAGAUACUAAAUUUCUUAGUCAUUUUUGAAGAAGUUUAUGGAAGAAAUUUGACACCAACCUAUUAUAUAGUAAGUGCUUGUCAUCCUUAAAUAGAUGGGCAAACUGAGGUUGUUAAUAAAACCUUAGAUAAUCUGCUACGAUGUUUUGUUGCAAAAGAUCAAAACAAUAGGAUCUCAUGCUACCUUGUGCUGAAUUUACUAAUAACUUUGUGGUUAAUCGUUCUACGGGCAAGACUCAAUUUGAGAUUGUUUAUGAUCGUAUUUCAGCUCAUUAUCUAGAUCUUGUUGAAGUACCUGAAUCAUCUUUAUCGAGUUCAAAGGAAGAGGACUUUGUUGAAGUACAAAAAUUCAUAAAGAAGUUAAAAAGAACAAAUUGCACAUACAAACGGGGUCAAAGAACAAAUUGGUCAAGAGCUCUCAAUGAAUUAGGAGCUAGCAGGCCCCUUAAUUCAAAAGUCUCUUUGUAUUAUUCUUUUGGACUUGAAUAAAUUCUCAUGUGUUUGUUGUGAUGAAAGGAACUUCAUGAUGAAAGGAAAAUCAUGAUUCAAGCUUCUAAUGAUUUUCUUAAAUCUGACCGGGUAUUCAUAGAUUUUUUUUUUUUAAUUGCAAGACUAUUGUCAUCCGAAUGUUUCCUUGUUGUGUAUACUUGGUCUCUUGAUGCUUCUCUUUUCAUUUA